rnacentral:rRNA from 1 species
ACGGAGGGGGCUAGCGUUGUUCGGAAUUACUGGGCGUAAAGCGCACGUGGGCGGCUUUGCAAGUUAGAGGUGAAAGCCCAGGGCUUAACCCUGGAAUUGCCUUUAAAACUGCAUCGCUAGAAUUGUGGAGAGGUUAGUGGAACUGCGAGUGUAGAGGUGAAAUUCGUAGAUAUUCGCAAGAACACCAGUGGCGAAGGCGGCUGACUGGUCCGGUUCUGACGCUGAGGCGCGAAAGCGUGGGGAGCAAACAGGA